rnacentral:rRNA from 1 species
UGGGGAAUUUUGGACAAUGGGCGCAAGCCUGAUCCAGCAAUGCCGCGUGCAGGAUGAAGGCCUUCGGGUUGUAAACUGCUUUUGUACGGAACGAAAAAGCUCUCUCUAAUACAGGGGGUGAAAGACGGUACCGUAAGAAUAAGCACCGGCUAACUACGUGCCAGCAGCCGCGGUAAUACGUAGGGUGCAAGCGUUAAUCGGAAUUACUGGGCGUAAAGCGUGCGCAGGCGGUUUUGUAAGACAGAGGUGAAAUCCCCGGGCUCAACCUGGGAACUGCCUUUGUGACUGCAAAGCUGGAGUGCGGCAGGGGGGGAUGGAAUUCCGCGUGUAGCAGUGAAAUGCGUAGAUAUGCGGAGGAACACCGAUGGCGAAGGCAAUCCCCUGGGCCUGCACUGACGCUCAUGCACGAAAGCGUGGGGAGCAAACA